rnacentral:tRNA from 9 species
GCCCCCAUCGUCUAGAGGUCAGGACACCUCUCUUUCAAGGAGUUGACGGGGAUUCAAAUUCCCCUGGGGGUA